UAUCUCACUUUUCAAUUCUGUUAAAAUUUGAUUUAUGUAUCUUGCAGCCCUGUCAUUGGGUGCAUAAAUAUUUAAUAUGGUUAUGUCUUCCUGAUCAAUUGUCCCUUUUAUCAUUAUGUAGUGUCCUUCUUUAUCCUUUGUGGUGGAUUUAAGUCUAAAGUCUAUUUUGUCAGAAAUUAAUAUUGCUACUCCUCUUCUUUUUUGCUUAUUGUUUGCUUGAUAUAUUUUUUUUUCAUCCUUUUGAGUUUUAGUUUGUGUCUCUAAGUCUAAGGUGUGUCUCUUGUAGGCAGCAUAUAGACGGAUCGUGUUUCUUUAUCCAGUCCGUGACUCUCUGUCUCUUUAUUGGUGCAUUUAGUCCAUUUACAUUCAGCCUAAUUAUAGAUAAAUAAGUGUUUAGUGUUGUCAUUUUGAUGCCUUUUUGUGUGUGUUGUUGACAAUUUCGUUUUUCCACAUACUUUUUUGUGCUGAGACUUUUUCUUAGUAAAUUGUGAGAUCCUCAUUUUCGUAGUGUUUGACUUUAUGUUUGUUGAGUCGUUACGUUUUUCUUGGCUUUUAUCUUGAGUUAUGGAGUUGUUGUACCUCUUUGUGGUUACCUUAUUAUUUACCCCUAUUUUUCUAAGUAAAAACCUAACUUGUAUUGUUCUAUAUCGCCUUGUAUCACUCUCCAUAUGGCAGUUCUGUGCCACCUGUAUUUAGUCCCUUUUUUUGAUUAUUGUGAUCUUUUACAUAUUGACUUCAGUGAUUCCCUGUUAUGAGCAUUUUUUUUUUUAAUUAAUCCUAAUUUGUUUUUGUGAUUUCCCUAUUUGAGUUGAUAUCAGGACGUUCUGUUUUGUGACCUUGUGUUGUGUUGAUAUCUGAUAUUAUUGGUUCUCUGACCAAACAAUAUCCUUUAGUAUUUCUUGUAGCUUUGGUUUGGUUUUUGCAAAUUCUCUAAACUUGUGUUUAUCUGUAAAUAUCUUAAUUUCGCCUUCAUAUUUCAGAGAGAGUUUUGCUGGAUAUAUGAUCCUUGGCUGGCAGUUUUUCUCCUUCAGUGCUCUGUAUACGUCGUCCCACUCCCUUCUUGCCUGCAUGGUUUCUGCUGAGUAGUCUGAACUUAUUGAUUCUCCCUUGAAGGAAACCUUUCUUUUCUCCCUGGCUGCUUUUAAAAUUUUCAGGUUAUCUUUGGUUUUGGCAAGUUUGAUGAUAAUAUGUCUUGGUGUUUUUCUUUUUGGAUCAGUCUUAAAUGGGGUUCGAUGAGCAUCUUGGAUAGAUAUCCUUUUGUCUUUCAUGAUGUCAGGGAAGUUUUCUGUCAGGAGAUCUUCAGCUAUUUUCUCUGUGUUUUCUGUCCUCCCUCCCUGUUCUGGGACUCCAAUCACACGCAAGUUAUCCUUCUUGAUAGAGUCCCACAUGAUUCUCAGGGUUUCUUCAUUUUUUUAAAUUCUUUUAUCUGAUUUUUUUUUACAGCUAUGUUGGGGUUAAUUCCCUGGUCCUCCAGAUGUCUCAGUCUGCAUUCUAAUUGCUCAAGUCUGCUCCUCUGACUUCCUAUUGCGUUGUCUAAUUCUGUAAUUUUAUUGUAAAUCUUUUGGAUUUCUACAUGCUGUCUCUCUCUGGAUUCUUGCAACUUAUUCAUUUUUCCACAAUGUUCUUGAAUAAUCUUUUUGAGUUCUUCAACUGCUUUAUCAGUGUGUUCCUUUGCUUUUUCUGUAGAUUGCCUUAUUUCAUUUCUGAGGUCAUUUCUGAUGUCUUGAAGCAUUCUGUAAAUUAGUUUUUUAUAUUCUGUAUCUGAUAAUUCCAGGAUUGUGUCUUCAUUUGGGAAAGAUUUUGAUUCUUUUGUUUGGGGGGUUGUAGAAGCUGUCAUGGUCUGCUUCUUUAUGUGGUUUGAUAUGGACUGCUGUCUCCGAGCCGUCACUGGGAAACUAGUUUUUCCAGAAAAUCCGCUAAAAAAAAAUGGAGUCAGAUCCCUAUCAGAACUGCCUUUGGAUUAUAACCUCCACCUUGUUCCCUGUAAGGAUGAAAGUCUGAGAUUUGGAUCGUAUAUUCUUGGCUGUAGCUGGUUCUGUGUUUUUAGUCCAAUUAGGGGUGGAUUUUUGGUCCCUGGGUUUUUUGUGGUUCCUUCUGUCAGGCCGGAAGAGUGGGUUAGGAAAAGACCAAAAGAAAAAAAAAGGGGGGUGGAAGCAAAGCCGCCGCGGAGCCGGAGCUGUUCUCCUUCUGGCUCAGGAAAUUCCAAUGUUAAUGAAGCUGCCAGGGUAGGGUGGGGGAAGGAUCAGAGAGAUAGGAGAGUAGCACCUGGGAAUAUAGCCUGAGUUGCUUGUGUUGCUUGGGAUGACUAUUUUAUCUGAGAUUCCCGAGGGGCGUGUCGCCUAUGUGUGCUGGCUGUGUGGAGAUUGCCCCCGGGUAUCUGGCCCACUGAAGCCGCGGUCAGAUCCUCCGCUGCCAGUCCAAAGCCCAGUGUCAAGAUUCCCCUGCUGGGACGCUGCACUCCCGACUCCAAAAUCAGUCGCUGCCUCCCGGGGACUUCUUGUCCGGCCAGCCGCGUCGCCCCGCCGCUCCCGCGGACCGGCUGGGCCCCGUCCCGGGGUUAGUUCAGGGGAGUGGAUCUGCUCCCCGUAUUUGUGCUGUGACAGCGCCCAGUCAAAAACCCGGCGGCAAGAUUCCCUGGCUAGGACGCUGCACUCCCAGCUCCAAGACCAGUCACUGCCUCCCGGGGAAUUCUCCCACCGGCUGCGUCUCCACGCCACCCGCGCGGACCGGCUGGGCUCCCUCCCGGGUUGAGUUCAGGGGGGUAGGGCUGCGCCCCUUGUUUGUGCCGUCAGCUCCCCUGGGCCCUGACCUAAACCGGGCGCCAAGGUUACCUGACUGGGACACUGGCUCCAGGCUCCGAAAACUGUCGCUGCUUCCCCGUAUUUGUUCGUUAUCCAUCUCUAAAUCUGUGUUUGUUGUUCAGGGUUCGUAGAUUGUUACGUAUGUGAUCGAUUUACUUGUUUUUCCGAGUCUUUGUUGCAAGAGGGAUCCGAGGUAGGGUCUACCUAGUCCCCCAUCUUGGCCCCCUCCAGCUCUAUUGUGUUUUUUAAUCCAUUCUAUCACUCUCGCUCUUUAUUGGUGCAUAUAGCCCAUUUACAUUCAGUGUAAUUAUGGAUAUGUAUGAGUUUAGUUCUGUCAUUUUGAUGUCUUUUUUUGUGUGUGUUGACAGUUUGUUUUUUCCCACUUAGUUUUUUGUGCUGAAUGGUUUAUUUAUUGUCUUUUCCUCAUAUUCUUUGUCGAUUUUGUUUUUGCUGAGUGUUUUUUUCUUGUAUUUUAUUUUGAUGAAUAGGAUUGUUAAUGUCCCUUGUGGUUAUCUUAAUAUUUACCCCUGUUUUUCUAAGUUUAGACCUAACUGUAUUUCUUUAUAUCGCCUUGACUUCCUUUCCAUGUGAAAGAUCUAUCACUACCUUUCUUAGUCCUUCUUUCUUGUUUUAAUGUUGUCUUCUUUUACAUAAUGACAUCGGUGUUUCCCUCUUUUGAGCUUUAUUUAUUUAUUGAUUUACUUUUGUGAUUUCCCUGUCUGGGUUGACUUCUGAUUGCUGUGCCCAGUGUUCUAGCCUUGGGUUGAUACCUGAUAGUAUUGAUUUUCUAACCAAAGAACUCCCUUUAGUAUUUCUUGUGGUUUUGGUUUGGUUUUUAUGAAUUCCCUAAACUUCUGUUUAUGUGGAAAUGUCCUAAUUUUGCCUUCAUAUUUGCGAGACAGUUUUGCUGGAUAUAAGAUUCUUGGUAGAAAUUUUUUUUUUUUAUGUAAGUCAUCCCAUUGCCUUCUUGCCUGCAUGGUUUCUGCCGAGUAGUCUGAGCUUAUUCUUAGUAACUCUCCUUUGUUAGGUGACUUUUCGUUUAUGCCUAGCAAUUCUUAAAAUUCUGUCUUUAGCUUUGGUUUUGGCAAGUUUGAGUAUAAUAUGUCUUGGUGACUUUCUUUUAAAAUCUACCUUAUGUGGAGUUUGACGAGCAUCUUAGAUAUCAUCUCUUCUUUCACAAUAUCAGGGAGGUUUUCUGCCAACAAAUCUUCAACAGUUCUCUUUGUAUUUUCUGUCAUCCCUCCCUGUUAUGGUACUCCAAUCAGUUGUAGGUUAUUUCUCUUGAUAUGAUAGAGUCCCACAUGAUUAUUAGGGUUUCUUCAUUUUUCCAAAUUCUUUUAUCUGAUAUUUCUUCGACUAUAUUGGUGCUAUUUCAUUUUCAGUCUCACUGAUUCUGCCUUCUACUUGCUCAAUUCGCCUCCUGUGACUUUCUAUUGAGUUGUCUAAUUCUGUAAUUUUAUUGUUAAUGUUCUGAGUUUUUGGUUGUCGUUUCUCUGUGGAUUAUUGCAGCUUAUUAAAUUUUUUGUUACGUUCUUGCAUACGUUUUUAAUGCCUUCAGCUGCUCUAUGUGUGUGUUCCUUGGGUUGUUCUGAGUUUGCCUGAGCUCCUUCCUGAUCUGGUUCCUGAUGUCUUGAAGAAUUCUGUAUAUUAAUCUUUUGUAUCCUGCAUCUGGUAAUUCCGGGAAGGCACCUUCAUCCAGAAGAUCCCUUGAUUCUUUGGUUCGAGAGCUUGUUGAAGCGAUUAUGGUGUGCUUCUUUAUGUGAUUUGAUAUUGACUUUUGUCUCCGAGCCAUCUAUUAAUUAUUAAUUUAUGUUAUGUUUGCUUAUUGUAUGCCAGCUUCUUUCUCUGUUUUGAUUUGAUAUGCCCAAAUAGGCUGCUUGAGUGAGCUAGCUUGAUGAUUAUAUUUUCGCCUUUGAAGCUCUAACAUUCUGUCACCAGAUGGCUAGAGGUGUUACCAGGUAUAUGAGCCAGGAGUCCUUUCACUUUUCUUGUAUUGAUUCAGCUCAGGUAUCCAGGUAGUUCACCAUCCAGUGUGUGGUACAGGCUGUGUCCUACAGUCUUAGAGGGGCAGAGGUGAUUGGUGUAGGUACAGAUAUCUGGUUGCAGCAGGGGGUCAUGCUCUGCACAAGGCGGGGGCCUGACAACCAUCCCCUAAGAUUCUGUGAGGAUAGCACUUCCCUGUUCCCUGGAGUGCAGAGGUGGGUGGGUUUUGCGGACAGACCAUGAGCACCUAGUGCUUUUGUUUGUAAGGACUGGGAGGUACCAGUUAUCCUUGGACCCCUUUUGUAGGUGGCUGGGUGAUGUGGGUGGAGUCACCAGUUCUUAGGCCGCUGAUGUUGUAGGUGAGGACCCUGUAUAAUAGGCAAAGCAGUGUCAAACAUCAAACACUCACCUGUCCACCGCACAGCUGAAACAGUUGCAAAAUGCCAACAUGGGCCUAUUCUCCUGAAAUAGGCCCACACAGGUCCAUGCAGGGCUGAAGGUAAUCUUUCCUCCCAAUUGUGAAUUUAUGCCUUCUCCAGGGCCUGCAGAAUGGAUCAGUGCACUCAGCAGGAGGCCCAGGGAAGUCAACAGCCACUGAAGGUGGCUUAGGGGCUGGGGUGUGGUGAAAGAUAUGGAAGGACUUAGGUUUUGCUGAGAGCUCCAUUCUUCUCUGGUUUUGGAGGUAUGAGUAGGCUGUGCGGCUGACUGUCUCUCCCUGAGGAUAGUGCAUUUGGAAUGGUAGCGCCAGCCCCUCCACGGUCACUCUAGGGAAUUGAUGCCUGACGGCUUCUGGCGAUUCAGGUUCGGCAACUUAUUUCCACUUGUGAACUGCCUCUCCCUACCCCUGCCACUCAAUCUGUUUUCCUACUUUGCCUUUGAUGUUCAGGGCUCCUAGCUUGUUAUAAAUACAACCGUUUCACUUGUUUUUUCGAGUCUUUGUUGUAAGAGGGAUCACUGGAAAUGUCUGACUACUCUGCCAUCUUGUACUCACCUCGCCAUAAGACUUUUAUUGGCUGGUUUUCAGAAGAAGAUCAUUAGGCCUUUCUUUCCAGUCUGUCUUAAUCUGGAAGCUCUGCUGAAAUCUGUUCAGCAUCAUGGUAGCUUCCAAGUCUUCAAUGACAUGGGCGGUGACUGUACAUGACAUGCAUUGGCCAGGAACCAGACCUGUGUCUCUCGCAGGGAAGGUGAGAAUUCUGCCCCUGAGCCACCAAUGCCUCAUACAUACACUUCUGUAGAUGAGAUUAUUUUGGUUGACCAGGCAAGGCUUGGUGAACAGAAGUCUUACAGUGGAAUCAGCCCUUACAGCUCCAUAGGGUACUGCAGUUGCUUUAGUAGGUACAGAAACAAGCACAUUAGAUAAAUGGAUAUUUGUUGGAAAUGAUUAGUUUUAUUAGUACUUGGUUAAUUGUCUGCAUGAAGAAAUGUGGAAACCCCUGUGUGUGAGCUAAUCCCCAUUUUCUCUUGUUCCUCAUUCUUACAAAUUAUCUAAACAAUUCCUGUGUUGUAGAUGCCAUUAAAAUCAACCUUUGAGAUCUAGAAGUAAUCUUUAUUACACCAUUGUACUUUGCAAAGCGUUGUCACCUAAUAAAAAUUAACUACCCUUCAAAUACUGUUUAAGGAUAAAGUAGCUCAGUUUUAUAUAUUUUUGAAUUUUUUGGUAAUAUUUACUUACCAAACCAAACCUGUUGCCAUCUAGUCAAUUCCAAUUCAUAGCAACCCUGUAGGACAGAGUAGAACUGCCCCAUAGGGUUUCCAAGGAGUGGUUGGUGGAUUCAAAUUGUAGACCUUUUGGUUAGCAGCUUGAGCUCUUAACCACUUUGCCACCGGAAAUAAACCAUGCUGCAUAGUGAAACAUAGACUUCUUAAUGCCGUCCCCCAGCUAUGCAGUUUUUCUCUGAGGGGCGGUUUUGUUAUUAGUUUCUUUACAGAAGUUUCUACAAAUUUACAGGCACACGUGUAUAUAUUCUUAAAACAUAUGCAAAUAAAAGCAUACUACACACUUCUCUAUAAUUCGCUUAUUUCCUGCACAGUAUUCUAUUUUGGAGACUGUUCCAAGUCAAAAAGUUCCUUAACUGUUGGAUUCUUGGGUGUGGUAAUAAUUUACUUGAAAUAUUGAACUCUGAAAGGAAAUAGAGGCGAGACCAGCUCUUCAGGAUUAUAAAAGAAAUCAUGGGUGAAGACAUUUAAAAUUCGGCUUCCAGCGUAAUUCAGAACAGUUAAAAGUCUAGGAAUGCUGGGAUCAUAUUUCUUUCAGCUGACCACCCUGUCCUGGAAUGAAAGGAGCGAAUCAGUGCACUUGAACGCCCACCUUGGUCCUUGUCCAUCGUCUACCCAUCUGGUCAAAUGAUUUUAUGGGAGAAACACUUUUAAUGAUACAGGAGAAACAAUCCAGAAGGCAAAUCUUACUUCAUUUGUGAAAUUCUUUCUCCGUAUAAAGAAUUUAUGUAUAUAAAAACAAUCAUAAACACUUUCUUUUAACAUAUGCCUUACAAACACAUUUGCUGUGCUUAAAAUAUCUGGAAUAAAUGCAAGCUCAGGUUCUCAUUUUGAUUCAGUUGUGUGUGUGUGUAUGGCUUUAAUUAAAUCAAAAUAGUAUCUACCUCUUGUGGUGGUGUAGUAGUCUAGUAGUCUUGCUGGUUAAUGUUGGAAAAUUCUAUGACAGUAGCCCGUAAAUUCAGAGUAAUGACCUUCCCUUCUUAACUCCCUGUAACUAGGCAUCAGUAGAAGGAUUUUUACCACUGCUCUGUAGCCCUUAAUUUUGGGUCAGCCCCCACGAUAAGAAAUUUGGCAUUGUUGUUAGGAAAAUAGUGUUUUUAACUUAAAAUAUGUAGUUCUCACUCUAAGAAAAAUAAUGGGAUGGACAAAUAAAGGCAGAUAAAACGUAUUAUGGUGAUAGACAAAUCAUUUUCUCAUUCUAAACUGAUGCCAGAUAAGUAGGCUUGGAUUCCAAGUGGGAGUUGGUUCCCUGGGUGUGCAAGAUGGGCAGGUGACUACUCCCCGUUUUCACUUGGUCUUGAUUGAAUUGUAAACCCUCACUGUCACAGUUUAGAAUGUCAUUAUAAUAUUCUAGCUUACUAGUAAGGCUCUUCUGUGCUUAAGUAGCAUUACCUGCAAACUAGCACAAAACAAUCAAUUUCCAAAGGUCAGUGAAUAAAGUAAUAUGCAUCCAUCCUCUGUCAGAAUUUACUUAGUAGAGAUCAAUAAAGUUUUACAACUUCAAAAUUCUAGGGGUUUAUACGAUAGUAUGCUAUGAAACAUGUUAAAUGCAUGAAAUAUUAAAGUUUUCAAAAUAGUUUGUACUGUUAUUUUAUAGCUUAUGAUAUUCUGAUGUUUGUUGUUUUUCCCUGGUGUCUGCUAGGAACACUCCUUAUGCUUUUCUAUUUCUUUAUUUUAAAGAACUAGUAGGCCUUUUCAUUGGUAACAUUCUGGCUGUUUGUUAAACCUUGCCAGCACUAUUUGCAUUCUGGAUGAAGUAAAUUCAGGAUGGUGGUAACCUUUAGAAGCUACAAGUAUAACAUUGUGUAGACUUCAAAAAUCAAUACCUGUGCUUCAAGUUCAGUCUUCUGACAUUCCACUAAGUAAAUUUUACAAAUUUAAGUAUCAAAAUUUGAAUGAAUUCAGAGGGGAAAUAGAUACAUAAAGUGGAAUAAUUUAUAUUCCUGGACUGAAACCAAACUUCCCUUAUAUCCAGUUGUACUUUUUCAGCAUUUAUUGUACUAGGUAUUGAAGCUUGUAUUAAUGUACUUUCUACUACUGCCAAACUCAUUACUGUAGAUAAUAACACUAACUCGUAUUAUAAAAAUAUAGUUAGCAAUUAAUUGAAUAACCUAGUUAAUGCACAUGUACUAUCCUUACCUUAUUAUACACUGGAAAGGAAUAAUGGCAGAGGAGUAAUUUUUUUUUUUUUUAAAGUGAAGUAGAAAGUUCUGUGGUAAUUGUUUUUCAGUGAGUUUGGUCAAAGAGUAAUUCAUUCAAUUUGUGAUUAUCUUCUUAGUCAUGACAUCACUGGGGUCUUAUACUAUAAACAAAACCCGAGUUAUAUAUAUUCUGUAGUGUACAUCCUUUAUUACCUAUAUGCUUUGGACUCGACCUGUGGUACUAAGUAUACCUUAUCUAUAAACCUUUUAGUACGUUGUUAUUAGAAAAUCCCAUUUCCCAGAGAAAUCAUUGCUUACACUUUUUUGAAUAUUUUACUGCAAUCCCAAGUUGCAGCAUUGUCUGCACUCUGAUAGGAUGGCUGCCUCAUCACAGAAACAGCUCUAAAGUGAUGUUCCAGCUGAUUCAAGCCCUUUUAAUCUUUAAGCCACCAGAGCUUCCAGCAUUUAUUUUUCAGUCCCCAUUCAAGAAUUAUAGAGAAUCCAAGUGUGCUGUUUACUUGGUUACAGAGACAUAAAACAACUGUAAUAAAUUAUGUGGCUAUAUACUGUAUUUGUAGUAGACACUUAACUGUGUGCCAUGUGGCACAAAACUGUUGAAAGCUGAGAUAGGGACAACUCAAAUGCAGUGUUAACCACCUAAAUUAUCUCAAAUUUUAACAUGUUUUUCUGUCCCUAACCCUGUUUCAGUCAAAAUAGAAGAGGGGGGGCAUGUAUACCUUCCCAACAUACCUUCCUCCCUAGCUUUCAUACUUGUUGAUUUUUCACAGCUUUCCCAUUUCUCAACCUAAGCUCCUUAAAGGAACUGUGUUCAGUUUUCUACUUGUUUUGUACGUUUUUUCUUACCUCCUUGAAAAAGUAUAUUUUCUAAUGUAUCCCUGGUAAGGCUGUUUAUAUCCUAGACAUGAUUGUGGGAUAAAACAUAUUUUACUUAAAACCUCAUUUAUAUGUAGCGCUGACCAAGACACUACUGUCUCCCUUAAAAUUCCUAGCUUAUGCACUGUUGCUAACGCAAACCUCUUUUUUGCCCAGAAAGCUAUGAUGCAAUUUGGUUGAAAAAACUCAUUCUCAAUCCUCAUUAAACUGAAAACCACACCUUGAAGUCCUGAGACUCUACAUAGAGAAGAAAUAAAAAGACCAACAUUGUGUUUUAUUGAGAAAACUGUAGGAAAAGGCAGUAUUAGGUUAUAUAGUAAAAACAGCUCUCUGAAAUGUCUAUUUAAAUGUGUGUGGAUGUAAUAUGUGACAUUCUUAAAAAUUUUUCAUUAAAAUUACAAUUCACACAAUUACAAACUAAUCAGAAACUAAAUCCGAGCUUGAUUAGUGUCUGGAAAAUAUGUCCUAAAAGGACAGGAGAGCUACAUACCCGUGAGCAAUCUAUACUCGCGGUAACUGUUCACAUAGAGGCACUGUGGCAUCUGAAGUAGCAACCAGGGCAGCAAGGCACCGGUGGGAUUUAAGCUUUUCCAGUUUUUCAAAAUAAGGGCACAGGAUCUAGCUUUUCCAAAUAACUUGAUGGAUUUCAAGAAUAAGGAUAAAAGUUAACAAACAAUCCCCUUAGGGCUAACGUCCUGGUUUACAUUCUUGCUAUGUUUUAGAUUCAGAUAUUAUCACCUAGCUACCUUUCCAAAGGAUAAUAACUUCAAAUUUACAAAGUUAUUGUCAAUUCCAACCUUGCUGCUCUGGAUCUGUAGCAAGUACAUAUUAUAAAUAGAUCACACCUUUGCCCACUCAGCAUGCCUAGUCAAACUAGUCAUACUUCAAGGGCAGCAAAUUCACACUUUAUCUAGUGCUUGGGUGUCUUGAAUGUAACAUGCCUCCCUUGCUGUAAGCAAACAAAAACUUUACACUUGAUUUUUUUUUUUUUUAACACAGAAUUCACCAGGGCUAGUAGAAAAUUUGAAGUUUAAAAAAGAUCUUUCCUUUAAUUUUCUUAAAUAAUCCUCAUUUAGCAUUCCACAUUGUGGAGAACUGAAAUAUGCAGUCUGCACACCGCAACAGGGAGACUUCAGAAUACUGGCACGAAUACUUACAUGUAUAUUUUAUAAUCUAUUAGAACAACUGUGUCCCAUCUUAAAGACUACAACAGAUGACAGGCCUUGAACUGCAAGAGGUUUACAGAUAAGACUUUAAAUCUGAACGUAUUAGAUGGGCCAGAAGAAUUCCAAACUGCUGUGAAGAGAGUACUUAAAAACAGGUCUGAAAAAAACUCCAUCACAAUCCUUUGUUCAUUGCAGCUGCACUCUGUACGCACCUAUUAGCAACUUAACCUAUUGGAAGAAAAAAAUACGUAUCAGUACAGAAGUACAGAGUUCACCUUUUCUAAAAAGAGGAAGAAAACAAAACAGCCUACACCCAUUUCUCUUACUGGGCAAUAUUUUCAACUUGGUGCUGUUUCCAUUGUUACAAAAAAAAACCCCAAGGGCUUAUAAUUUGCUUUUAGGAUAUGUUAAAAACAGUAACAGUAAUGGCAAGUAAAUACCAAAGCCUAGAACUAACUUGAGAUGUAUUCUCAUUAGUCUCUUCGUUGGCACAUUUCAUUAUCUAUGCCUGGCACAUUUUAGAUCUAGAUAAAAGUAAGGUGAACCUAGAAUUGCUAACCCUAGGGAACACUUAUCUCUAGGACAGGCCCUUCUUCCAGAAACUAAGGAGCACAAUGUCCCUGAAAAUUUUUUCUGAUGAUAAUGAAGUGAUCUGGAGUAACAAUUUGAGGAAAGAAUUUUUACCUUAGCAGAGGGUGCUUCCGUCAACCUUAUGAAGAGUUUAUUGGGGCCAGCAACAGGACUGAAUGAAUAAACAAAAUGACUAUCC